UGUCAUUCCAAAUCUAGUAUUCAGAGUAAUCUUUCAACUACAAUUCGUUUUGACAUAACAUAACUUUCAAAUUCCAGUGUGGAAGAAUAACUUAAAAAUUCCCCUAAAAAUGGAUGGUGACACACUAACUAACACCCUCAAAGAAUCCCUCGGAAAAUUGGCGAGCGAGCAUUUUGACAGCUAUGAAGCGAUCUAUUCCUGUCUAAUGUACAUAAUUUGGGCAAUCUCGCUGUGGUUUGUGCUCUCGUGGGUGACGCGCAUUGUUUGCAAGCUGUUUUUCCCCGUGGUGGCGUGUUUUGCAUUUUUGGCAAUUUUCAAUGAACAACAUUCUGCGGCUUUACGGACGGUGUUGAGGAUCUGCAGCUUUAUUUGCUCUAAAACUGCAAGUCAGAUUGAUAAAUUUAAUGGCAGUGAAUGGAAUCCUUAUGCAAGAUGAAUUUCACAAAUACAUAUCUGGAGGUUUUUUUUUUGAAAA